rnacentral:lncRNA from 1 species
AUUCGACAAUCGGUUCCAUUAGAUAUGAUUUGUGCUAUUGGAACUAUCUAGAACUAAAUUUUCUAUUUUUUUGACUUCAUAAUUGCUUAGUGAACGAGUAGCCUAAAACUCAACAACCGAAAAUAAAAAUCUCAUAAAAAAUAGUAAUAAAAUAUUCAAAUUUCAAAUCAGAAAUAUUGAUCUUUCUAUUGAUGUUAAGUAGAAUUUUCUAUUAAAGUUUUAUGUAAUUUGGAUUGUUCUAUACCGUUGAAUUUAAAACAUACCACAUAGACCAUUAAAAUAGUCAUUUUUGAGACCUUUUGAUCAUGCAGUAAAUGAUGUCCAAAAAUUAUAAAAUUUGGUUUCUGGAUAGAUCCAAUAGUGUAAAUUAUGCCUAACGGAGCCGAUUGUCAAAUCGAAUAUCCUAUCAUCAAAAAUAACUUACAAGCAUGGAGGUUUCCAUACAUUCAAAAGUACAGAAGACCCGACUACUAUACUCUUAUGAGUACGAUCACCUUCGUACUUAUAAAUCGUUUUCGAUGAUAGAGCUUUCGAAUUGACGAUCCAUACCAUUAAACAUUAUCUAGUGUAUUUAAAACUUCUAGAAAUCAAAUUUUAUAAUUUUUGGACAUCAUUUACCUUACGAUCAAAAGGGCACAAAAUUGACAAUUUUUAACGGUCGGUAUGGGAUACUUGCUAGUUUAACGGUGUAAAAGAAGUGGAAUAGGUUGAAUUUUUGAUAAAAAAACUCUAUUCACUAUCUAGGUAAAGAUCAAUAACUCCGAUCUUAAAUUGAAGGAUCCAAUCAUUCAUUUUUAAGACGUUGUUCAAUUUUCAUUUUAUGCCCGCUUGAUGGGCUUUAUUAUAAUUUCAAAAAAUUACGAAAUUUAUUUUUUAGAAGUUUCAAAUACUCUAGAUCAUAUUUAACGGAGCGGCCGGAUCGUCGAUUCGGAAGCUCCAUCAUCGAAAAUAACUUAUGGAUAUGAAGGACUCUAUACUUAUAAGAGUAUAGUAGCCUACUCUAUAUGAGUACGUCUCCUAUGUUUUCGAAAGUAUGGAGGUCUCCGUACUUGUAAGUUGUUUUCAAUGAUGAGAUAUUCGAUUCGACGAUCGUCAAUUAGAAAUAAUCUUCGCUAUUAAAACUAUUUAGAAGCCAAAUUUCAUAAUUUUUUUAACUUUGUUUAUCUAAUAAUCGUCACUAUUAAAUGUAACUUACAAGUACAUACAGAGGCGU